UUUUUUAAAAAGUUUUCAAAGAUUAUGCUAUUGAGCUUGUGCCAGUGGUGCUGUUUUAUUAUCUGAUAGAUAUGAGGAUGAGUGUGCACGAACCGUGUCUGUGUUUGUCAUUUAUCUGAGCUUCUCUGUCCUCACAUUCGUGAAAUAAAGUCAAAGGGAGACUGCUCAGAAGGGCGCUGGAGACAUACUGUGCACGUGUGGCGCCUGAGAGAGCGUGCACGUGACAGGGUGCCUGCCACAGUGGCCAGCAGCCCGAGUCUGGGCACCCAGCAUCCCUGGCCUCUGCUCUCUGUGUUUGGGCUGCUGCAUGACCUCCACUUUGCGUGCCAUAGGCCCUCAGGCUCAGCAUUGGAACCUGUGCUCACCUUUUCGUCUCCCAAAGAACAAAGUCGCAGCACUGGGCUCUGCUUGGCUGACAGGAUAAAUCAGUUUAUACUUUGGGUUGGGGGUGACUUCUCCCCAAGAACACCCAUGUGAGAUUCCCAGGCCACCACAGGCUCCCAAGGGACGGGAGGCUUUGCCCUUGGUUUGUUGCUAAGGAAGGGAGAUCACAGUGUCUUGCAAGUCAUUGACCUCAGACUUUCUGACGAUGCCUGGACCCCAUGGAGGCCAUGAGACCAUGGGUGUCAUCCAGGCCCAAGGAUACUGUGGGGUCACCAUACCCCACCCUCUCCUCAGGCUCUGCUUCAUUCGGCUCCCCACCAGACAGGAAGCAAGACAGACGCAGGCACCUGUUCUGCCAGGAGUUGGCCCUCCCCUCCAGCACUCUGCAAGAGCGUCGGCCAAGGCGGCUCAGCGCUGGGAGCUUCAGAACCACAUGUGGGGACGAGGCGCACACAAGCUCCAGACAGAGCAGAGGAUGACAGAAGAGUGUGAGAAGUUCACAUUGCCCCCAACUUGGAGACAGAGCCCGAGCAGGAGGAGGACAGAGCGGGAGACACAGAAUCCAAAGCAGGCGCGACGCUCUGAGCUGUCGGCACACAGCCUGCCACGGGGCUCGAACUCAGGACCUGGGAGAUCAUGACUAGAGCCAAAGUGGGCCGCUUAACCGGCUGAUUCCCCCCGGCGCUCCCGGAAGCCCAUUCUUGGGACUGAAAGGCUGUUUUUCCAACAUCCGGAGCUAGGCGAGCCCAGGAGGACGCUCCGGCCCGGGUUUCAGAGGAAGCACAGCCUUGUGACGCCUUGAUUUUUGGCUUCUGGCCCCAGAACUGUGGGUGGAACCUGAGUCCUCCCCAGUGCAGGCUCUCCGUGGUGACGCGCUGCCGACAGGACAGGCGUGUGCUCCGCCCGAGAUCGGCUCACGCAGCUGCCCUGUGUCCCCUCGGACAGCUCGCCCCGGGAGGACCAGCCCUGAGGAGGGUCCACGGGGCGACGACCUGAGGCUGCCUGCGAGCGGGGCAACCCGGGGAGCCUCCAGCCCCGUCCGGCCAGCAGGUGGCCAGGGCCUCGGUAGAGACGCUGAGCAGACGGCCCGGCUCCUGGGGCCCUGACUUACGGACGCUGUUAGAUGAAGGGUGUUGUCUGCUUGGGGUAACUCGUUUCACAGCGGCAGGUAACUAAUACAGGACGGGCUUCCCAGAAGGACUCCUGCCUUGCCUUUUCUUGGUUAGGGAAGCGUGGCCCGCCUGUGAAGGAUCCUUCCAUGUGCCAACUGUGGCAGAUGCCGUCUGCCCCUCGAUGCCUGAUUAGGGCCCCCUAAAAAUUGAGAAGCCCUAGUCUGUGACCAGCCUGAUCCUCUGGGAAUCCCAGGCUCUGUGGCACACAUGCGUCUGUGUAACAGAACCCAGGCAUGCAGAACGCACGCCUCAUAAAAUAUUUUCAACUCGCUCCCUUUCCCUCCCAUUGUCCCCAGGCUUCUGAUGGCUCUGUCUCUUGUGCAGCUGUGUGUCCCAGAUUCUGACUUUUCCCACCUCUUCCUGGGCAAGGGAGGGCGAGGAUAUGGUUCUCACUGUGUCAGCCUGGGGAAGUAGCUCAGACUGCCCCCAGAGAGGGCCGGGAGUGUGGCGGGCAGUGAGGGGGUCUCUCUGGACCCUGGGGAGCCUGGACCUGAGGCUCAUGUGCGGGCCUGAGCAGAGGCUGCGUGGACACCUACCAAACAUGCCUCCUCCCUAGCAGCGGGGUCCCUGCUGGGCACCCCAAGUGGCUACUUGGGUCUCAUGGGACAGGCAGGUCACCAGUGCUGAGUCCAGAUGUCUGCUCAUUCUCUUUUUGCCGCUCAGGGAACCCGUUUUCUGUCUGUGAGCAACAGCUGCCCAGUGGGGUCCACAGAGCUGUGGGGUCCGUCCCUGGGAGGCUAGACCCACCCACAUCUGAGCAAGACCCACAGGACGCUACAGUGAGAAAGACAAGCCUCGGGCCCCCACGUGUCCCCCGUAGCAGCAGCUCCCGCCUCCUCCCUCACACUCCCACUGUCUCCUGGGGCUCCAGGGAGGAAAAUGGCCUUGUGUGUCAUUUCCACGCUUACUUCUUAAAGCCUCCAUGGUCAUUGGAACUGUCCGUCAUGGUGAUUAAAACAAGCUUGAUAAGGGGCUCUGGGGUAAGCACUCACACACUCACGAGGAGUGACCCUGCAGCCCUGUGCAGGAUGCACAGGGGACGCUUCAACCACUUCUUAAACA